GACAGAGGAGGCAAGCGUUGUCCGGACUGACUGGGCGUAAGGCGCGCGCAGGCGGAUAUGGGCGUCGGUGCUGAAAGACCACCGCUUAACGGUGGCUCGCGUGCCGAUACGCCAUAUCUGGAGGGCGGGCGAGGGCGGUGGAAUUGCCGGUGUAGUGGUGAAAUGCGUAGAGAUCGGCAGGAACACCCGUGGCGGAAGCGGCCGCCUAGCCCGCACCUGACGCUGAGGCGCGACAGCGUGGGGAGCGAACGGG
rnacentral:rRNA from 1 species